rnacentral:tRNA from 1 species
ACAGUGAUAGUUCAGUGGUAGAAUUCUUGCCUUCCAUGCAAGAGACCUGGUUCAACUCCUGGCCAAUGUA